rnacentral:rRNA from 1 species
GCAGCCUGAUCCAGCCAUGCCGCGUGCAGUGAUGACGGUCCUAUGGAUUGUAAACUGCUUUUAUACGAGAAGAAACACUCCUUCGUGAAGGAGCUUGACGGUAUCGUAAGAAUAAGGAUCGGCUAACUCCGUGCCAGCAGCCGCGGUAAUACGGAGGAUCCAAGCGUUAUCCGGAAUCAUUGGGUUUAAAGGGUCCGUAGGCGGUUUAAUAAGUCAGUGGUGAAAGCCCAUCGCUCAACGGUGGAACGGCCAUUGAUACUGUUAGACUUGAAUUAUUAGGAAGUAACUAGAAUAUGUAGUGUAGCGGUGAAAUGCUUAGAGAUUACAUGGAAUACCAAUUGCGAAGGCAGGUUACUACUAAUUGAUUGACGCUGAUGGACGAAAGCGUGGGUAGCGAACAGGAUUAGAUACCCUGGUAGUCCACGCCGUAAACGAUGGAUACUAGCUGUUGGGAGCAAUUUCAGUGGCUAAGCGAAAGUGAUAAGUAUCCCACCUGGGGAGUACGUUCGCAAGAAUGAAACUCAAAGGAAUUGACGGGGGCCCGCACAAGCGGUGGAGCAUGUGGUUUAAUUCGAUGAUACGCGAGGAACCUUACCAAGGCUUAAAUGUAGAUUGACCGGUUUGGAAACAGACUU